GCCAGGUGCAGUGGCGCACACCUGUAAUCGCAGCGGCUUGGAGGCUGAGGCAGGAGGAUCGUUGAGUUCAAACCUAGCUUUAGCAACUUAGUGAGGCCCUAAGCAACUCAGUGAGACCCUGUCUCUA
rnacentral:sRNA from 1 species